UAAUCAUGGAGUAUAAAAAUUAAAUUUAAUAAAUUUAAUAUAACUAUUAAUAGAAUUAGGUUACUAAUAAAUUAAUAACAAUUAAUUUUAAAACCUAAAGGUAAACCUUUAUAUUAAUAAUGUUUUUUUUUUAUUAUUUUUAUAAUAAGAAUAAUUAUUAAUAAUAAUAAACUAAGUGAACUGAAACAUCUAAGUAACUUAAGGAUAAGAAAUCAACAGAGAUAUUAUGAGUAUUGGUGAGAGAAAAUAAUAAAGGUCUAAUAAGUAUUAUGUGAAAAAAAUGUAAGAAAAUAGGAUAACAAAUUCUAAGACUAAAUACUAUUAAUAAGUAUAGUAAGUACCGUAAGGGAAAGUAUGAAAAUGAUUAUUUUAUAAGCAAUCAUGAAUAUAUUAUAUUAUAUUAAUGAUGUACCUUUUGUAUAAUGGGUCAGCAAGUAAUUAAUAUUAGUAAAACAAUAAGUUAUAAAUAAAUAGAAUAAUAUAUAUAUAUAUAAAAAUAUAUUAAAAUAUUUAAUUAAUAUUAAUUGACCCGAAAGCAAACGAUCUAACUAUGAUAAGAUGGAUAAACGAUCGAACAGGUUGAUGUUGCAAUAUCAUCUGAUUAAUUGUGGUUAGUAGUGAAAGACAAAUCUGGUUUGCAGAUAGCUGGUUUUCUAUGAAAUAUAUGUAAGUAUAGCCUUUAUAAAUAAUAAUUAUUAUAUAAUAUUAUAUAAAUAUUAUAUAAAGAAUGGUACAGCAAUUAAUAUAUAUUAGGGAACUAUUAAAGUUUUAUUAAUAAUAUUAAAUCUCGAAAUAUUUAAUUAUAUAUAAUAAAGAGUCAGAUUAUGUGCGAUAAGGUAAAUAAUCUAAAGGGAAACAGCCCAGAUUAAGAUAUAAAGUUCCUAAUAAAUAAUAAGUGAAAUAAAUAUUAAAAUAUUAUAAUAUAAUCAGUUAAUGGGUUUGACAAUAACCACUUUUUAAUGAACAUGUAACAAUGCACUGAUUUAUAAUAAAUAAAAAAUAAUAUUUAAAAUCAAAUAUAUAUAUAUAUAUAUAUUUGUUAAUAGAUAAUAUACGGAUCUUAAUAAUAAGAAUUAUUUAAUUCCUAAUAUGGAAUAUUAUAUUUUUAUAAUAAAAAUAUAAAUACUGAAUAUCUAAAUAUUAUUAUUACUUUUUUUUUUUAAUAAUAAUAAUAUGGUAAUAGAACAUUUAAUGAUAAUAUAUAUUAGUUAUUAAUUAAUAUAUGUAUUAAUUAAAUAGAGAAUGCUGACAUGAGUAACGAAAAAAAGGUAUAAACCUUUUCACCUAAAACAUAAGGUUUAACUAUAAAAGUACGGCCCCUAAUUAAAUUAAUAAGAAUAUAAAUAUAUUUAAGAUGGGAUAAUCUAUAUUAAUAAAAAUUUAUCUUAAAAUAUAUAUAUUAUUAAUAAUUAUAUUAAUAAUAUAUAUAAUUAUAUUAUAUAUUUUUUUUAUAUAAUAUAAACUAAUAAAGAUCAGGAAAUAAUUAAUGUAUACCGUAAUGUAGACCGACUCAGGUAUGUAAGUAGAGAAUAUGAAGGUGAAUUAGAUAAUUAAAGGGAAGGAACUCGGCAAAGAUAGCUCAUAAGUUAGUCAAUAAAGAGUAAUAAGAACAAAGUUGUACAACUGUUUACUAAAAACACCGCACUUUGCAGAAACGAUAAGUUUAAGUAUAAGGUGUGAACUCUGCUCCAUGCUUAAUAUAUAAAUAAAAUUAUUUAACGAUAAUUUAAUUAAAUUUAGGUAAAUAGCAGCCUUAUUAUGAGGGUUAUAAUGUAGCGAAAUUCCUUGGCCUAUAAUUGAGGUCCCGCAUGAAUGACGUAAUGAUACAACAACUGUCUCCCCUUUAAGCUAAGUGAAAUUGAAAUCGUAGUGAAGAUGCUAUGUACCUUCAGCAAGACGGAAAGACCCUAUGCAGCUUUACUGUAAUUAGAUAGAUCGAAUUAUUGUUUAUUAUAUUCAGCAUAUUAAGUAAUCCUAUUAUUAGGUAAUCGUUUAGAUAUUAAUGAGAUACUUAUUAUAAUAUAAUGAUAAUUCUAAUCUUAUAAAUAAUUAUUAUUAUUAUUAUUAAUAAUAAUAAUAUGCUUUCAAGCAUAGUGAUAAAACAUAUUUAUAUGAUAAUCACUUUACUUAAUAGAUAUAAUUCUUAAGUAAUAUAUAAUAUAUAUUUUAUAUAUAUUAUAUAUAAUAUAAGAGACAAUCUCUAAUUGGUAGUUUUGAUGGGGCGUCAUUAUCAGCAAAAGUAUCUGAAUAAGUCCAUAAAUAAAUAUAUAAAAUUAUUGAAUAAAAAAAAAUAAUAUAUAUUAUAUAUAUUAAUUAUAAAUUGAAAUAUGUUUAUAUAAAUUUAUAUUUAUUGAAUAUAUUUUAGUAAUAGAUAAAAAUAUGUACAGUAAAAUUGUAAGGAAAACAAUAAUAACUUUCUAAAAAAUAAUUAUGGAAAGAAUUAAAUUAAUAUAAUGGUAUAACUGUGCGAUAAUUGUAACACAAACGAGUGAAACAAGUACGUAAGUAUGGCAUAAUGAACAAAUAACACUGAUUGUAAAGGUUAUUGAUAACGAAUAAAAGUUACGCUAGGGAUAACAGGGUAAUAUAACGAAAGAGUAGAUAUUGUAAGUUAUGUUUGCCACCUCGAUGUCGACUCAACAUUUCCUCUUGGUUGUAAAAGCUAAGAAGGGUUUGACUGUUCGUCAAUUAAAAUGUUACGUGAGUUGGGUUAAAUACGAUGUGAAUCAGUAUGGUUCCUAUCUGCUGAAGGAAAUAUUAUCAAAUUAAAUCUCAUUAUUAGUACGCAAGGACCAUAAUGAAUCAACCCAUGGUGUAUCUAUUGAUAAUAAUAUAAUAUAUUUAAUAAAAAUAAUACUUUAUUAAUAUAUUAUCUAUAUUAGUUUAUAUUUUAAUUAUAUAUUAUCAUAGUAGAUAAGCUAAGUUGAUAAUAAAUAAAUAUUGAAUACAUAUUAAAUAUGAAGUUGUUUUAAUAAGAUAAUUAAUCUGAUAAUUUUAUACUAAAAUUAAUAAUUAUAGGUUUUAUAUAUUAUUUAUAAAUAAAUAUAUUAUAAUAAUAAUAAUUAUUAUUAUUAAUAAAAAAUAU
rnacentral:rRNA from 1 species